UACGGAGGGUGCAAGCGUUGCUCGGAAUCACUGGGCGUAAAGGGUACGCAGGCGGCUCGUCAAGUCGGAUGUGAAAGCCCGGGGCUCAACCCCGGAAUUGCAUUCGAAACUGGCGGGCUCGAGUACGGGAGAGGGGAGCGGAAUUCCUGGUGUAGAGGUGAAAUUCGUAGAUAUCAGGAGGAACACCAGCGGCGAAAGCGGCUCCCUGGCCCGAUACUGACGCUCAUGUACGAAAGCGUGGGAAGCAAACAGG
rnacentral:misc_RNA from 1 species